rnacentral:rRNA from 1 species
UACGUAGGUGGCAAGCGUUGUCCGGAUUUAUUGGGCGUAAAGCGAGCGCAGGUGGUUUCUUAAGUCUGAUGUGAAAGCCCACGGCUCAAUCGUGGAAGGUCAUUGGAAACUGGGGAACUUGAAUGCAGAAGAGGAGAGUGGAAUUCCAUGUGUAGCGGUGAAAUGCGUAGAUAUAUGGAGGAACACCAGUGGCGAAGGCGACUCUCUGGUCUGUUAUUGACACUGAGGCUCGAAAGCGUGGGGAGCAAACAGGAUUA